rnacentral:tmRNA from 1 species
GGGGGUGUAUUGGUUUUGACAGCAUAGAUCUUUGAAGGUGCAAGCAUGUCGUGCGUUGGGUAAUUAGCACGUAAAUCUGAAUACUCAAACAUCAAAUGGCAAUACUCAGUAUGCCAUGGCUGCCUAAUUAUUAAUUAGACCGUCAUUAGGGCCGCCCGAGCAGGUUGAUCUGUUACCACGCUCCGCCGCCGACUUAAAAAAACAAAACAGGUUGCUGCUACUGAAGGCUGUGACGGUAGCUUAAGACUAUCCAGCUAAGCGUUAUAUUGGUUCGCCCGUCUCCUGUAUAACGCCGACAAUUAAUGCCGGGAUAAACAUGUAGAAAGCUUUUGGAGAAUGUGUUUGGACACCGGUUCGAGUCCGGUCACCUCCACCA